AACGAACGCUGAUGGCGUGCCUCAUACAUGCAAGUCGAGCGGCUCUUCGGAGUAGCGGCGAACGGGUGAGUAACACGUAAAUAAUCUGCCCCUCAGUUGAGGAUAACCAGCCUAACGGCUGACUAAUACUGAAUAUUGAUGGAGAGUCGCAUGACUUUUUAUCGAAAGGCUUCGGCCGCUGGGGGAUGAAUUUGCGGUGUAUUAGCUAGUUGGAGGGGUAACGGCCCACCAAGGCUACGAUACAUAGCCGGCCUGAGAGGGUGAACGGCCACAUUGGGACUGAGAUACGGCCCAG
rnacentral:rRNA from 1 species